rnacentral:tRNA from 1 species
GUCCCUGUAGCUCAGCAGGAUAGAGCAACUGCCUUCUAAGCAGUGGGCCGGGCGUUCGAAUCGCCCCAGGGACACCA